ensembl:miRNA
ACAGAAUCGUUUCUGCACAAACUAGGACGCUUUGACACUCAGUGUGCGGAAAUGCUUCUGCUC